AUGAGGACAGAGCCCCAAUGCCAGGCUGCAACCAAACGCCCUUCGGAGUGCAGGCUCUGCACGCCCAGCAAACUGCACAGAGCUUUAGGGAACUUGGUCCUGAGCCCCAGCUCCCCCGGCUCAGCACCCAGCAUUAUUUGCAAAGGCCGCGGUUGCUCCUUAUUCCCCCUCUCCCUCCCUCGCAGUGACACCUCCGGGCUGGGAGCCGAGCGGGGGAAGCACCGGGGACGAGCCCCGCCGGGGAUGCUGCACCCAGGACCCGUUUUCCCGAUUUCCCCCCUUUUAUUUUACCUGGGGCUGCGGUCUCCAUGGCGACUGGCGGCUGGUCCCUGGCGGUCCCAAAAGCCAGCGGCUCCCCCUGCCGAGCCCCGGCCCCAUCCCGCUCCAGGCCCGGCCGCAGCCCAGCGCAGCCCCGCGGCCGGCAGCGGCAGGUCCCGGGGGUCCGGGGGGGCUUCCAUGCUCCGUGCCCAGGCGGCCGCUGCGAUCCGGCCCGGGGAGGAGGAAGAGGAGGAGGAGGAGGAGGAGGAGAGAGGAAGCCGAAGAAGGUGGCCGGGGGCUCUGGCAGCCCGGAGGGGAGCCGGAGCCGGUGAUGCCGGAGCCGCUGCUGGUGGUGGCGGUGCCGCUGCUGCUGCUGGCGCUCCCCCGGCGGAUUACGCAGGAGCCAGCAGAGGUGGUGGGACCCGCCACCAAGUGAGAGGAGCAGGGGCAGGGGCUGUGACCAGAGGUCAGAGGAAGAGGAGUUUGAGGUCUUGCUGACGGGGCUUCCCCAGGAUCUGUCUCGUGGUGCAGCAAGUCGCGCUGAGAAGAGGAGAGCAACUGCCCCAGCCUGAAGAUUUCGCCCCAGUCUGGCUCUUCGCUUGUUGCAUCUCCUUCUGUGAUCUUAAUGUCACGGCAUCCCCAGGCACUUUUCCUCCCCAGCUUCAGGAAGCCAUGCUUCACCCCUGGGUUUGAAAACUUAAUACAUUUCUACUCUCCCCAUGCAGAGGGGUAAGCCCAUACUGCAAGAUGAAGCAGCCAUUAGCUCCGGCAUUUCCAUCCAUGCUGCCUUCCCAAGGAAUCUCCCCUCUUCUCCCGACUCCAGGACCUAUUCCCAGGAGCCAUCCUGCUGCCACCUGAGUCGGUGCCAUUCAGUGCCAGCUCCCCAGGGCCCUUCACAGGCCAGCUCCUCAGCACGGUGGCGUUGACCAGGCACAGGGGGGUCUUUGGGGAGGUUUGGAACCAAAGCACCAAGGUGCCAGCACGAGCAAUGUGCUCAAGAUUUAACAAAAUCACGCUGGGAGUCAAGUGACUGCUGUGAAUUCAGACAAACUGUGUGCUAUCAAGCUCUGAGUGGCAAGUGUGGUUGCAAACAACAAGAUUUCUUCAGGCUGGGGCUUCACAGUACAGGCUCUUAGCAUGCAGCUACUGUAGACUUGACAGCUGCCAGUACUUGGGGCAGACCUCAACAGACCGUGUGAAUAUAACCACCUCGUUUUGAGCUCCCUAGCCUGAUCAGUUACUGAAAAGACACAGCAUCAAACCCACUUCUCCCUUUGCUCUGCUUUGCCACUCUUUCUAGAUCAGCAGUUGUUGUGCAGGUCUUUUAAUUUCAGGGCAGCUCCUGCCCUAACACGACACGCUGAUGCCACCUGGGCUAGAAGAAAGAAAUGACUCCCAAC
rnacentral:lncRNA from 1 species